GACGUUAGCGACAGAAGAAGCACCGGCUAACUCCGUGCCAGCAGCCGCGGUAAUACGGAGGGUGCGAGCGUUAAUCGGAAUUACUGGGCGUAAAGCGCAUGCAGGUGGUUUGUUAAGUCAGAUGUGAAAGACCCGGGGCGUCAACCUACGGAAUAGCAUUUGAAACUGGCAGACUAGAGUACUGUAGAGGGGGGUAGGAAUUUCAGGUGUAGCGGUGAAAUGCGUAGAGAUCUGAAGGAAUACCGGUGGCGAAGGCGGCCCCCUGGACAGAUACUGACACUCAGAUGCGAAAGCGUGGGGAGCAAACAGGAUUAGAUACCCUGGUAG
rnacentral:rRNA from 1 species